UACGUAGGGUGCGAGCGUUAAUCGGAAUUACUGGGCGUAAAGCGUGCGCAGGCGGCUUUGCAAGACAGAUGUGAAAUCCCCGGGCUCAACCUGGGAACUGCAUUUGUGACUGCAUAGCUAGAGUACGGUAGAGGGGCGUGGAAUUCCGCGUGUAGCAGUGAAAUGCGUAGAUAUGCGGAGGAACACCGAUGGCGAAGGCAGCUCCCUGGACCUGUACUGACGCUCAUGCACG
rnacentral:rRNA from 1 species